CAGCCGCCGCGGGAAUACGUAGGUGGCAAGCGUUGUCCGGAAUUAUUGGGCGUAAAGCGCGCGCAGGCGGAUAGGUCAGUCUGUCUUAAAAGUUCGGGGCUUAACCCCGUGAUGAGAUGGAAACUGCCAAUCUAGAGUAUCGGAGAGGAAAGUGGAAUUCCUAGUGUAGCGGUGAAAUGCGUAGAUAUUAGGAAGAACACCAGUGGCGAAGGCGACUUUCUGGACGAAAACUGACGCUGAGGCGCGAAAGCCAGGGGAGCGAACGGGAUUAGAUACCCGCGUAGUCCCUGUCUCUUAUACA
rnacentral:rRNA from 1 species